CGGGACAAAUUGGGACAUCACUGAAGAACAAUGAGGCUACUUUGAAAGAUAGACAGAAAGAAAGAUAGACAGAAAACGUUUUCUCCUAAUAGGAAGCUAAGUACCCUGAACUCCGUGGACAAGCCAGAUGCCGGCUACUAUGACAGCGUUCCUGAAAAUACAAGGAAGACUUUAACAAUAAGAUGAAACACCGCAACAGGAAGCAGGUCGCAUUCUCACACUUUACAAAAGAAAGGCAUGCUUCUCCUAUCCCGUCUUUCCUCGGGACAACGUGAAAGGCUGUUGAUGCUAAGACAGGGAAUGACCUGCAGUAUCAGCAGGCGCAGGCCCUGGAAGCUACCUGGACAA
rnacentral:lncRNA from 1 species